rnacentral:lncRNA from 1 species
UGUCAAAAUAUAAAUCUUGAUUGUAAACUGAAUGAUAUACAAUUUUGUCUCAAGUAGAGCCAAAAAGAACUCUUAAGUCUCAUCCCCAAAUAUAUUUUACAGAAUCGUAUAUGACUCAUAAAAUAACAUAUAGAAAAAUCCUACGCUCCAUAGUAUAAUCCUAUACUUAAUCCUGACUCACCCUAUUGCUUUGACAUGACUCUUCUUAACCUUUGCUCUGAUACCACUUCUUGUCACGACCCCCGCCCCGUUCCCGGCGGGCCACCGCGACGGUCCUAGGGUGCGGGUAGGCAUAAGGCCACCAGCCACCGCGUAGAACCCUACUACCUAUCAAUCAUCAAUAGAUCUUGAAAAAUUUGGUAUGAUACAUGCACAAAAUGAUCACUUUUCCUAUAGUGACAUGUCAGGAUUAUCUCAAUACAUACAACACACUACCUGUCAGAGCAGCAAUCACAUAAUCUGUCACAUAAUAAACCUGGAUAAUAUAUAGCAAUACAUUAUCACAGGCACACAACUGAUCUGCACACAUAUAUAUAUAUACCUGCUUCCCAAUCCAUCCAUGGUCAAACCCAUAUCCACAAUAGGAUCUAUGACUGUAACUAUGCACUAUAUAUAAUAGAAGG